GGACGAGUGGCGCAAUGGUAGCGCAUAUCUUUCCGGCCAAGUCCCCCCCUUCCGUUGAGCUCUUCCGAGCCCCAACCCCGGGUUCUCCGUUUAGAUAAGGCUGCAGGUUCGAGCCCUGUCCCGUCCG
rnacentral:tRNA from 1 species